rnacentral:rRNA from 1 species
GUGCAAACGUUGUUCGGAUUUACUGGGCGUAAAGCGUGCGCAGGCGGUCUGUUAAGACAGAUGUGAAAUCCCCGGGCUUAACCUGGGAACUGCAUUUGUGACUGGCAGGCUAGAGUAUGGCAGAGGGGGGUAGAAUUCCACGUGUAGCAGUGAAAUGCGUAGAGAUGUGGAGGAAUACCGAUGGCGAAGGCAGCCCCCUGGGCCAAUACUGACGCUCAUGCACGAAAGCGUGGGGAGCAAACAGG